rnacentral:tRNA from 2 species
GCCGCCCUAGCUCAUCUGGUAGAGCAGCUGUCUAGUAAACAGCAGGUGGGGAGUUCGAGUCUCCCGGGCGGCUC